UUCGGAUUGCAGGCUGNAACCCGCCUGUAUGAAGUUGGAAUCGCUAGUAAUCGCGGAUCAGCAUGCCGCGGUGAAUACGUUCCCGGGCCUUGUACACACCGCCCGUCCACACCAUGAGAGUCGGGAACACCCGAAGUCCGUAGUCUAACUUUCACGAGAGGACGCGGCCGAAGGUGGGUUCGAUAAUUGGGGUGAAGUCGUAACAAGGUAAC
rnacentral:rRNA from 1 species